AGUUAAUAAGCUUAAAAGCGCAUGUUUUGAAAACAUAAGAUUAGAAAAUUAAACUUCUAUUAACUU
rnacentral:tRNA from 1 species